AGCGAACGCUGGCGGCAUGCUUAACACAUGCAAGUCGCGCGCCCAGCAAUGGGAGUGGCGGACGGGUGAGUAACGCGUAGGAAUGUAUCUAGAGGUGGGGGACAACCCUGGGAAACUGGGGCUAAUACCGCAUAUGUCCUGAGGGACAAAGCCGUGAGGCGCCUUUGGAGCAGCCUGCGUCCGAUUAGGUAGUUGGUGGGGUAACGGCCUACCAAGCCUGCGAUCGGUAGCUGGUCUGAGAGGACGACCAGCCACACUGGGACUGAGACCCGGCCCAGACUCCUACGGGAGGCAGCAGUGGGGAAUAUUGGACAAUGGGCGCAAGCCUGAUCCAGCAAUGCCGCGUGGAUGAAGAAGGUCUUCGGAUUGUAAAGUCCUUUCGACGGGGACGAUGAUGACGGUACCCGUAGAAGAAGCCCCGGCUAACUUCGUGCCAGCCGCCGCCGUAAUAC
rnacentral:rRNA from 1 species